UACAGAGGUCUCAAGCGUUGUUCGGAUUCAUUGGGCGUAAAGGGUGCGUAGGCGGCGCGGUAAGUCGGGUGUGAAAUCUCGGAGCUUAACUCCGAAACUGCAUUCGAUACUGCCGUGCUUGAGGACUGGAGAGGAGACUGGAAUUUACGGUGUAGCGGUGAAAUGCGCAGAUAUCAGGAGGAACACCGGUGGCGAAGGCGGGUCUCUGGGCCGGAACUGACGCUGAGGAGCGAAAGCGUGGGGAGCGAACAGG
rnacentral:rRNA from 1 species